CCCUGCCCUUUGUACACACCGCCCGUCGCUACUACCGAUUGAAUGGCUUAGUGAGACCUCCGGAUUGGCAGCUCUUUUCUGGAAACAGCAUCGAGCUGCUGAGAAGUUGGUCAAACUUGGUCAUUUAG
rnacentral:rRNA from 1 species